ensembl:snoRNA SNORA70 Small nucleolar RNA SNORA70
CUGCAGCCAAUUAAACCGACUGUGCUGCCCACCAUAACGCCCCGUGUGCAAUGGCCGCAAACAGCAGCCUUCUGGGUAGUAUAUGCAGCCUGUUGCUUGCACAGGCUCCCCUAAUGGGCCUUGGAGACAACC